AGUCCUACUAUCAUGGAUCCCUACAGGACGGAGGUCAUGGAUAACUCGUCAAACCCCUUCGUCUGUCAUAUGUCAAGAUUUAUUCGACUCGAGUUCGAUAGUGGAAAACUCUUUCUCCACUUUAUAUUACUGCCCUGGCCAAGAUCUUAGAACUCAGUCUAACAAAUCACAUAGGAUCACUCCUCUUCUAUCAAGGUCGAUAGAUUCCAUGUAAGUGCAUACCCUACUC
rnacentral:lncRNA from 1 species